GACUAGGGUGAGACAAGUUUCUUGUCUUCACUCUGUUACUUUGAGCAAAUUGGAGUGCUCCAACCAGGCUAAAGCUUGAACAGCUCAGCAUGGAAUAACGAGAUAGGACUUUGGUUCUUCUUGUUGGUGUCAUGAACCGAUAGUAAUGGUUGACAAGGACAUACGGGGGCAUUUGUACUUGCUGGAGAGAGGUGAAAUUCUAAGACCCUGCAAAGACAAACAAGUGCGAAAGCAUUUGCCCAGUGUGUGCCUGUUGAUCAAGGACGAAAGUUGGGGGAUCGAAGACGAUUAGGUACCGUCGUAGUCCCAACUAUAAACUAUGCCGACUGAGGAUCGGUGGCCGUACAUAUACGACUCCUUCGGCACUCCAAGAGAAAUCUAAGUCUCUGGGCCCUGGGGGGAGUAUGGUCGCAAGGCUGAAACUUAAAGGAAUUGACGGAAGGGCACCACCAGGAGUGGAGCCUGCGGCUUAAUUUGACUCAACGCGGGGAACCUCACCAGGCCCGGACAUAGUCAUGAUUGACAGACUGAGAGUUCUUUCUCGAUUCUAUGGGUGGUGGUGCAUGGCCGUUCUUAGUCGGUGAGGUGACUUGUCUGGUUAAUUCCGAUAACGGACGAGACCUCGACCUGCUAACUAGUGACUGUUUACUCUGUAAGCGGUUUACUUCUUAGAGGGACUUUGGGA
rnacentral:rRNA from 1 species